UGAGGAAUAUUGGUCAAUGGGCGAGAGCCUGAACCAGCCAAGUAGCGUGCAGGAUGACGGCCCUAUGGGUUGUAAACUGCUUUUAUGUGGGGAUAAAGUGCGUGACGUGUCAUGCAUUGCAGGUACCACAUGAAUAAGGACCGGCUAAUUCCGUGCCAGCAGCCGCGGUAAUACGGAAGGUCCGGGCGUUAUCCGGAUUUAUUGGGUUUAAAGGGAGCGUAGGCUGUCUAUUAAGCGUGUUGUGAAAAUUACCGGCUCAACCGGUGGCUUGCAGCGCGAACUGGUCGACUUGAGUAUGCAGGAAGUAGGCGGAAUUCAUGGUGUAGCGGUGAAAUGCUUAGAUAUCAUGACGAACUCCGAUUGCGCAGGCAGCUUACUGUAGCAUAACUGACGCUGAUGCUCGAAAGUGCGGGUAUCAAACAGG
rnacentral:rRNA from 1 species